UACGUAGGGUGCAAGCGUUGUCCGGAAUUAUUGGGCGUAAAGAGCUCGUAGGUGGUCUGUUGCGUCGGCUGUGAAAUCCCGAGGCUCAACCUCGAGACGUCGGCGGAAACCAUCUGGCUAGAGUCCGGAAGAGGAGAGUGGAAUUCCUGGUGUAGCGGUGAAAUGCGCAGAUAUCAGGAAGAACACCCGUGGCGAAGGCGGCUCUCUGGGACGGUACUGACGCUGAGACGCGAAAGCGUGGGGAGCGAACAGG
rnacentral:rRNA from 1 species